rnacentral:ncRNA from 1 species
UCUAGUCGAAAUAAAAACACAGUUCCGGUUGGUAGUCCGGACGCAGUAACUUGUAAGUAACCUGCCUCCUCGGUUGUCCGUUUUCGACCUUUGGAUU